AUUGCCUCAGUAACGGCGAGUGAAGCGGCAACAGCUCAAAUUUGAAAUCUGGCCUCUUCGGGGUCCGAGUUGUAAUUUGUAGAGGAUGUUUCGGGUACCGCCUCGGUCUAAAUUUCUUGGAACAGAAUGUCAGAGAGGGUGAGAAUCCCGUCUUGGACCGGCGGUAGGGCCCGUGUGAAACUCCUUCGACGAGUCGAGUUGUUUGGGAAUGCAGCUCAAAAUGGGUGGUAUAUUUCAUCUAAAGCUAAAUAUUGGCCAGAGACCGAUAGCGCACAAGUAGAGUGAUCGAAAGAUGAAAAGAACUUUGAAAAGAGAGUUAAACAGUAUGUGAAAUUGUUGAAAGGGAAGCGCUUGCAACCAGACUUGAGCGCGGCGGUUCCCCCUUCCUUUUGGUUGGGUUACUCCGUCGUGUCCAGGCCAACAUCGGUUCUGGGGGUCGGUUAAAGGCUUGGGGAAUGUACCUACGUCUUCGGGUGUAGACUUAUAGCCCCGAGUGUCAUGCGACCUCCCGGGACCGAGGAACGCGCUUCGGCUCGGAUGUUGGCGUAAUGGUUGUAAGCGGCCCGUCUUGAAACACGGACCAAGGAGUCUAACAUCUAUGCGAGUGUUUGGGUGUCAAACCCGGAACGCGGAAUGAAAGUGAACGGAGGUAGGAAGCUUCGGCUGCACUAUCGACCGAUCCUGAUGUCUUCGGAUGGAUUUGAGUAAGAGCAUAGCUGUUGGGACCCGAAAGAUGGUGAACUAUGCCUGAAUAGGGUGAAGCCAGAGGAAACUCUGGUGGAGGCUCGCAGCGGUUCUGACGUGCAAAUCGAUCGUCAAAUUUGGGUAUAGGGGCGAAAGACUAAUCGAACCAUUAACGAAACCCAAAGAUAUAAUCGAAACAAACAUUAUAAGCUACACGGUGGUUAAGUGUGACCUCGAAAGAGGGCGCAAGUGCCCGGUUCUGGCGCGACCCUAUCAAUUGCGGGGACUCCCUA
rnacentral:rRNA from 1 species